UUAAAAUCCCACAGCAUGUUCUCAGUCUAAUCUCCUUUUAUCUCCGCAACCCGAUUUCAGCAAUUGUGUUUAUCACUUAAAUGCCUCCUCUUGUUCAUAACUUUGAUGAUUCUCACAUGGGCUAUAGACUGCUGUUUACUCUAAUUGUAUUCUUAUUAACAUUCCCAUUUUAAAUGACUAAAAAUAAGACUUUGACCUUCCAAAGUGAAUGACUGCUUACUGCCCUUCCUUGGGGAGAAAUUAACUUUGGAAAUAUCUGCAAAGUAUGUACAUGGUUAUAUGUCCAUUCAUUUUCCUUCUUAUUUGCUUCUUUAAGGUGGAGUCUCCUAUUUAUUUUCUGGAAGAGACGUGGGGACAAAGGAUCACUGGGCCCCAAAGAAAAUGUGAGAAGAUCAUAUUGACAAACUGAAAACGUUUCUGAAGAUAAGAAACAGGUGUAAGAGAGCUGCUCAAGUGACUGACAGACCUGCAGUAGGAAGUAGAACUGCCUUGCCCUCUGAAGCUUGAAGCAGAGGUACCUGGCCAAACCCAGAUCAGCCAAAUUUAAAUCAACCUCAGACACGGAACAACUUCGGCCCUGCUGGAAGCCUUGUCAUUGACAAAGGGACCAAAGAUGUUUACUCUCUUUUGAUUCUCUCUUACAGUGGAGCACCUGGGAAUCUGGUUUAUCUCUGUAACCCCGGGCAUACAAAAGGCAGCUGGUCGGGGAAUAAGCUUUGUAUUCUAGGAUGGAGUGUAUGAGCAGAAAGCAAGGAAUUCCCUUCUUCCUGUAAAUCUGUUAAGCUUGUAAAUAAUAGGGGAUAUGAAGAAGGCUUUCAAACCUAAUAUCACCAACCUGAAAUUUUUGGCAACUCUUAGCCGGUGCCUCUAUUGAUCCCUUUAAAACUCUUCACUGUUUUAUCUUGUUAGGAAGUGUAAGAUGUAGAUGAAGCAGUGUAUAAAGUCUAGAUGGUAGAACUAUGGUUUUAGAAGAUGUCUCCGUCUAUUUGUGGUAUGCAGAAUACCAAACAGGUUCAUUUCCUAAUCCUCAGAACCUGUGAAUAUUUUUAAUUACAUGGCAAAAGAGAAUCAAGGUAGCUGAUAGAAUUAAAACUGCUGAUGGGACUAGGGUUUCUAAUCAGCUAACCUUGAAAUAGGCAGAUUAUCAUGGAUUAUCCAGGUGGACCCAAUGUAAUCACAGGAGUCCUUAUAAGUAGAAAAGGGACGCAGAAGAGUCAGAGAAGAUGUGAUGAUGGAAGCACAGUCAGACGGAAUGGAUGCAAUGUAAAGACCCACCUGCCAUUGCUUGCUUUGAAGAUGGAAAAAGGGAGCCAUGAGCCAAGGAAUGGUGCAGUCUUGAGUAGCUAGAAAAGGCAAGAAAACAGAUUCUCUCCUGGAGCCUCCAGAAAGGAGUGCAGUCCUGUUGACAUCUUAAUUUAGCACAGUGAGAGUGGUGUUGGGUUUCUAACCUGUAGAACUUGGGUAAUAAAUUUGUGUUAAUUUAAGCCACUAAUUUGGGGUAAUUUUUUGGCAAUGAUAAAAAACAAUACACUACUAAUGUGAGAAAUCUGCCUGUAAACAUGGGUAGAUGAGAAAGCAAAAAUUAAAAGGUGACUGAGGUAAAAGAAUAUCUAUCUGCCUGUAUGGUUCAAACAGACCUCUGGGGAGGUUUCCCAAAAGUGAUUAGAGGGAGUUGCAAUUAGUGAUUGGGUAUAGAAGGAAAGUGACUAAUAUAAUAUGAGGGGAGGACACUGAGAGAUGUUCCACAGUGUUAACACACUUCCUGGCAGACUAAUCAGCUCUUGAAACACCUAAAAACCUUUAAUAACCAUGUAUGACAGAGGAGUAUAUAGGUUUUUGUAGUCUGGGGAAAAAUCCGACCUCUAUAUAUUGACACAUAGAAACAAAAUUACAAAAUCAUGUUAAAUGAAUUUUAGAAAGGAAAGUAGUCUUGCAAACUAUACAUCCAAUUCUCAUUUUAUACACAAAAAGAAACUGAGGUUCAGUGAGGUAUAAUGGUUUGCUGAUAUUAGUUUAUGUCACAGCUAAUACACGAACUCAGUUCUCCAAAUUAGUAGAUUUGCCUAAAAAGUGUAGGAUCUGGUUACAACUCCAUAAUUAUUCUAUUUCCUAAUAAACUAAAAAUAAACUGUAGGACCAAAAUCAUUGUCUCUGGUUAGUGAGAAAAAAUAAAUUAAAGCCCUGGCCAAAAUGGGAUAUUAAUGUUGGAUGGGAAGAAGGAGACAUGCUGAGCUUGAGAGGCACUAUAUGUCCUUGGGAGAAAAGCAACUUCUUCAGAGCUGUGGUAGCUAAGCACCAGGAAAUUUCCAAGUAAUUGUCCCAAACAGGCCCUUCAUCUACCCACAUUUUGUGAAUGGGAGGAGUCCCUUCGAGAUCCUCAAACUAGUCUUGUUCCUUCAGUGGGUAUGACAGCCCAGUUGGUCUCGGCCGACCUCAGUAAUAAUGACCAAGGAUAGUAAUGAUAGCUGCUAGCAUUAUUGAGCACUUGCUGUGUGCACUGCCACGUACAAUUCCAAGUGCUUCACAUGUAUUAUCUCACUUAAUCCUUGCAGUAACCCUGAAAAUUUUUAUCCCCAUUUCAUAAGCAAGAUAACUGAAGCACAGAAAGGUUUAGUAACUUGUCAACAGUUAUUCAGCUACUAAGUGGUAGAGCCAGAAUCUGAGCCCAGAUAGCCUGACUCCAGAGCUAAGCUGUAGACAGGCUCUGGCUUCCCUCUUGCUUUAGACAAUGGACUACACGGGGGCAAGAAUUAGGUCUUGCUCAUCUAUGCAGUUUCAGUGACUGGUAACAUUUCAGCACAAAUAGGGCAGAAUAGCACAGAGGUCAGAGACUGGACUGUGGGGGUCAGUCAUUCCAGGUUUUAAAAAACGGCACCAGCACUCGGUAUGACCUUGGGUAAGUUACUUACCUUCUCUCAAUUUCAGAUUGUUUACCUUAAAAAGGAAAAAGCAUAAUAAAAAGAGACAUCUUUAUUAUUUAUUAUCUAUCGCAUCAGGCUGUUGUGAAGAUUAAUGCUAUAACACAUUUCAGGCUUAGCCUAGCAUUGUAUUUGAUAAAUAAUAAACGAGACUCCAUACAACAGGAAGUUAUUUUUGUCAUCUUUCUUUGCUUUUCAAAAUUAUUUUUUAAAUGUUCCAAAAACCUAAAUGUCUCCCAAG
rnacentral:lncRNA from 1 species